rnacentral:snoRNA from 1 species
CUGCGAUGAUGUCAUUUCUUAGGACACCUUUGGAUGGAUCAUGAAAAGAACUUAUUCUCUGAGCAGC